rnacentral:tRNA from 1 species
UGAUGCAUAGCUUAGUUGGUUAGCCCAGAGGCGCUUUUAACGUCAAGGUCGUGAGUUCGAACCUCACUGCGUCAAC